UACGUAGGGGGCGAGCGUUGUCCGGAUUUACUGGGCGUAAAGAGCGCGCAGGCGGUCGUUCAAGGCGCGUGUGAAAGCCCCCGGCUCAACUGGGGAGGGUCACGCGAUACUGAUCGACUCGAAGGCAGGAGAGGGAAGUGGAAUUCCCGGUGUAGUGGUGAAAUGCGUAGAUAUCGGGAGGAACACCAGUGGCGAAGGCGACUUCCUGGCCUGUUCUUGACGCUCAUGUGCGAAAGCGUGGGGAGCAAACAGG
rnacentral:rRNA from 1 species